GUUGCCACACCUACUUUGAUGUCUUAGUACUAGCACUAGUUAACCUAAAGGGAAUCCCUUCUGCAAAACCAAAUCAGACUGUAUUGCAUCUUGUCUAUUUAUACUGUGAAGCACUAGAUUAGACUAAGAGACGGAGGAAUGGGAGAAUUUGUGCAAGACAGCCAUCUCUGAGACAAAUGAUGAAACUGUGCCAUUGUGGCAUUUCUAGGAUCUGCAGGAUCCAGCAGUGACAAGUCAAGAGGGAUGGUUGUACAUGCAGGUCAGCAGCUGAUGGAAAAUUCAAACAAUGCAAUGUCGACUUCUAAUGCUGGAGAUGAAUUCAGUUUUAUAAAACCAGAUUCUCUUAAUACAAGUAGUGUUUUGCAUCCCUUGAAGGACAAUUUAGAAGAGUUUCCUGAAGUAGUCUCCCUUAAUGUGGGUGGUAUGUAUUACACCACAAGAUUAUCCACAUUGAGACGCUUUGAAGAUUCCAUGCUAGCUGUUAUGUUCAGUGGAAGACAUCGCAUUCCAAAGGACACAGAAGGGCGGUACUUCAUUGAUCGGGAUGGAAAGUAUUUUGGAGAUGUUCUUAAUUUUCUUCGAAAUGGUGAUCUACCCCCGAGAGAACACGUACGAGCAGUAUACAGAGAAGCACAAUAUUAUUCCUUAGGACCACUACAGGAUACCCUAGAAGAAGUUCAGCCCCUUGCAGGAGAGAAAGUCAGACAAGCUUUUUUAGACUUAAUGCCAUAUUACAAAGAGAACCUUGAAAGAAUAAUUGAAAUUGCCAAACUCAGGGCUAUGCAAAGGAAAGCAAGAUUUGCAAAACUGAAAAUUUGUGUCUACAAGGAGGAGAUGCCCAUCACACCCUAUGAGUACCCCUUUUUUAACACGGUACGCUUUGAAAGGAGUGAGAGUGAGUCAAAGCUGUUUGAACAUCACUGUGAGGUAGAUGUGUCCUUUGGGCCAUGGGACGCUGUGGCUGAUGUUUAUGACCUCCUGCACUGUAUAGAUACUGACUUAGCAACCAGAGGCAUCACUGUGGAACACCAGUGCAUUGGUGUGUGUGAUAAGCAUCUUAUAAACCAUUACUACUGUAAGCGGCCUAUCUAUGAAUUCAAGAUAACAUGGUGGUGAUAGGACCUAAAUGGAGGGAAUUCUGUAAUCUGGCUCAUCAACGCUACCUUUACAGAGUGAAACUUCACUCUGUGAGUUUUUUUCCUGAUACAAAUAACUGCUGAAAGAUAGCAAAAGUAUGGAAUUAAGAGCUUUACCAGCAAUAUUUCAAUGACAAUUUUGCUGAGCAAAAUAGAAGCUUUAAGUCAUUCUUCCAGUGUUCAGUUUUGCAGACUGUUAUGGCGAUAAAACAGAUUGUCUUCAUUUGAAUCAUGACCAGCUGGCAAAGACUUUUUGUUUUCAGAUUUUUCUCUUCAAACAGAUGCUCUUACUAUAGCUAGCGCUCCUGUCUGUUAGCAACAGGGAAUAAAGUCAUGUGCACCUGAUAACUAAUCCUAAUGUAGAAUUAGCAGACAAGAUCUUCAGCUUGAAACCCAGCAUUUGCUGAGAAUUACAAACUGUAAUAAUAUCCAAAUAAAAUCCAGUGACAUGAUGUCUGAAGACAGUAAUGAAACAUGACAGUCAACAAAAAGAAGCUUUUCAGCACUACCAGAAGAACUUCCUUCCUACUGCUGAAACUUCAAAAUGUACUUAGCACUUAGGUUAAUUUAAAUUAAUGUGGUCUGUCAAAUACACCCAUGCAUUAUGUAUGUACAUUUAUUUGGCACGCACAAGUAAUUUGUAACAUCUCAUAUCUUUAGCACACCACAUGUAUGAUGUGAGAAAACAUAUUUGAAGCAGAAAUCUAUGUAUAUCAUGCAAUAUAACAUGAUGUUUGUACAUUAGAUCUCAUCUUUACUUAAAAUUUUGUGUUCUUCAGUUUUUCCUAGGUUUUUGUGAAUUUAAUUCAUUAAGUUUCAGUAUUGGAUGACAGAGCAAUAGAGGCAAACAUGUAUUUUUUUCUUCUUUUGUAAUAAUAACUUAUGACUUACAGUCUUAAAUGUAUGCCUUAGGUAUACACUUUCAAGAACCAUCAGCUAUUCAAAGGCCCAACUACUGUAAUAUUUUAUUAACUUGCUUGUUUACACCUUCUGUCAUAAAUGGAAGAAAAUGCACCUUGGAGGUCUGUAUUAGUGUUUCAUUGUCAUUAUUAGGAUUUGUUAUAAUAAUUAAUAUAUAAAUAAAACUCAUUUGGAAACAUUGUCA